rnacentral:rRNA from 1 species
GACGAACGCUGGCGGCGUGCUUAACACAUGCAAGUCGAACGGUGACGGGACCGGUUUUUGCUGGUUCUGGAUGAGUGGCGAACGGGUGAGUAACACGCGAGUAACCUUCCCCCUUCUUCUGGAUAACCGCAUGAAAGUGUGGCUAAUACGGGAUAUUCUGCGCCUGCUGCAUGGGGGGUGUGGGAAAGAUAUUGUUUCGGGGGGGGAUGGGCUCGCGGCCUAUCAGGUUGUUGGGGGGGUGAUGGCCUACCAAGGCGGUGACGGGUAGCCGGCCUGGGAGGGUGGGCGGUCCCACUGGGACUGAGAGACGGCCCAGACUCCGACGGGGGGCAGCAGUGGGGAGUAGUGCACAAUGGGCGCAAUCCUGAUGCAGCGACGCCGCGUGAGGGAUGGAGGCCGUCGGGUUGUAAACCUCUUUCGCCAGUGAAGCAGGCCUGGCCCUUUUGGGGGUGGGUUGACGGUAGCUGGAUAAGAAGCGCCGGCUAACUACGUG